rnacentral:snRNA from 1 species
AGCUUUGUGCAGUAGCAGUAUCCUUGCCAAUGAGGUUUAUCUGAGGCAAGAUUAUUGCUAAUUAAAAUAAAACUUAUGACACUUUCUGCUUACUUAAUGGUCAGUUUCUCUUCAGUAUUGUAGGAUCCUAGAGGGUAGACACAGUAUCUUACUCGAUUCUCUGCAGGUAGGCAAAAAUAAAUAUUUUAAGGAUAAAUCAGGAUUU